UUGGUUUUUCGAGACAGGGUUUCUCUGUGUAGCUUUGCGCCUUUCCUGGAACUCACUUGGUAGUCCAGGCUGGCCUCGAACUCACAGAGAUCCGCCUGGCUCUGCCUCCCGAGUGCUGGGAUUAAAGGCGUGCACCACCACUGCCCGGCUCCAGGGGAUUUUUUGUUCUGGUUCCUGAGACCUUCUCCCUUCUAUGCUGUUAAAAGAAUAUUUCAGAAACAAAAAGUAAUCGUGGAUGCGCUAAGGUGGCCAAGAGAAACGUCUGCUGUGUGUUCUGCCCACGUAUGUGUUGUGUACAUGAGUGUGGCUGUGUGCAGGAACACUCACAUGUGUACGCAUGUGCAUGUGAGCGUCUGUGUGCACAUCUGUGUAUGUGUGAACAUGUCUGUGGAUAUGUGUGCAUAUCUGUGCGUGUGUGUAUAUGCAUGCAUAUAGAGAUGAUAUGUGAGCAUAUAUGUGUACAGAUAUGCAAGUAGAUGUGUAUGUAUAUGAUCACAUAUGCAUAGAUAUCUAUGUGAAUCUGUGAGUGCAUUCAUGUAUAUGCUGUGUAUGUGUAUAUAUGUGUGUGGAUAUGUGAAAGUGUGUGUGUGUGUGUGUGUAUGUGUGUGUUUGUUGCAGAAUGGGAAGAAACAGAGAAGCUAAAUGACUUUCUAAAGAACAGGACUCUGGAGAAUACUCUCUGGUAGAGCCAGGUUCUAUGCUGGUGACCUUGUCCUCGUCACUGCCCACAUCCUGGAUACCUGCACCCUCGUCUUCCAGGCAGUCGGCUUGUUCUGCAGGAGGAAGAGCACAUCAGGGAGGUGGCGAGCGGUUUCACAGGAAGCUUGGCAGCCGGCCGCGGAAGCACAGUGCCAGGAGUUUAGAUGUCAAGAUUUAGGAACUAAAAAUACAAAGUAGAUCUGCCAGGGGCAGAUGCACAGGGGCUAUUCCUAUGGCAAAGGAACCUGCCAGAGGAGAUGAAGCAAGAGUACCUGUCACCCCAGGCGUGGUGGGGCAGGUGGAGCAUGUGUAUCCAGCUCCAGCCUUCACUACGCUCCUUUUGGGGGCUGGGAUGGAAGGGCCAGUUCUCCUCAUAAGCUCCUGUUCAUUCAGUGAGAUACCCAGGACCUCACUCCAGGAUGCUCAAAGGUUACAAGGAAGACCUUUACCACGCGCUCCAUCCAGGGAUGGCUCAGGGUGUUUUUGCCUGUGUUAGCUGCUGUCUGCCACAGAGAAUUCAGUGUGGCUCCUGCUGUGCCUUCUGAGUCACCAACAAGAUUGGGGUGCAUCAGAAAGCUUGGUCUGGAAUGAAAUGCCCAUAUGGCUUGGGCAGCCAGGUCGCUCUAUCAUGGCAUUUCAGCCAUCCCUUUCUCAGGUUCCUCAUCUAGUUUUCAGGUCCUCUGGAUCAUGGAGAAAUGACCCUUGGCUCCUGCAGGUGGGGCAGGGAGGAAAUAACAGCUUAUUCCAAGAGUGACCGAUUGUGACAAGUCACCAGGCUUGUCUCAAGGGCAUGGACUGUUCAGUUUGGGGAAUUUUAAGCAUCACCAGCCAGCCACAACAAUUUGACCAGCGCAGGGUCACGCCUAGGUAACCGAAGUGUAUUGUAUACUUCCUACUAUAGUAAUGAUUAGAAUAUUAAUAAUAGCCAUGAGGUAACAUGCAGCCCUUCACGAAAGCCAACAGUGUUUUGAGCACUCUGCAAGUGACAUACGUUCAUCUCUGAGAGUUAAAGUCACUCCCAUUUUCCAGAUGAAAGGAUGGAGAUUCAGAAAAAUGAGUUAGCUUUCUAAAGUUUCCAAAAGCAGUGAGGGGAGCUGGGUUCCAAUCAUGACGGUUCAUACCUAUGCUGAGCGUAUCGGUUACUGCUCUCAUCGGUGUGGCCAAGUUCCUGAUGAAAGCGACUGGAGGAAGGAGGGGCUCUUUGGCUCACAGUUUGAGGGCACCCAGUCCAUCAUGGUGGAGCAGUCACAGCGCAGCAGCAUAAAGCACCUGGUCACAUGGCAUCCGGUCAGGAAGCAGAGAGAGAAUGCUAGUGUUCAGCUCUUGUUCUCCUUUUGUUCAGUUCAAGACCCCAGCCCUUGGGAUGGUGCUGUCCACAUUCAGCGUGGGUCUUCCUCUCUGGAAAUGCCCCCACAGAUGUGCCCAGAGGCGUCUCCCCAAAGAUACUAAUUCCUGUCAAGUUGGCAACCGGAACUAGCCAACCACCAUACCGAGUGUUUCAUGAAGCCCCAGCACCCUCUUGAGCAGCAGGUAAGCAGAUAUGUGCUAGCCCUGCAUGAGAAGAGGCUGGAAGCCAGCAGCCAAUGAGGCUCAUGGGAUGCUGCAGCCAGCCUUGAGUGCUGGGAUGAGACCAGGAGAACCUGCAACAGAGGCUGGAGGUCCCUGGUCCCCCUCAGCCUCAGAGGCAUGGCGAGGACAAAUCGAACCCUCUCCACUCAGUUUGAAGCCUUGCCUAUUAAUGUUAUUCAGAGCCUUUAUGUGUUUGAAAAUAUUCCUCUUCAUUAUUCAUAUUGUGCCACAAGAAUGAUAUAUUUGAAGAAAUUAUCAUGAAUAAAGUGGCCAAUUUAGCAGGGAGAUUUACCAAGAAAAUACUCAGUAAAAAAAAUAGUCAGCUACAUUUUCCGAGAGGGGAAGUGAAAACGCCGCUUGGAUCUUCAUAGUUUGAGAACAAUGCACGUGGCGGGGGGACCCUGCUCAAUAAUGUUUCCUACAAUAAUUCUCAGGCAAGAGGGAAAAAUUAUUUCCAAUAAUGAUAAAAGAGGAAAUAAAGUGGCCUCAAGUCUAAUCAAGCCUAGUUACGGGGGGGGAAAUCGUUCUCUUCUCAGAUUAUUCUAAAGGAGUUUGGGGGAAGGCAGGCACGUGUGUACAUUAAAAAUAGAAUUGCUAAUAAUCCUGUAAGCCAGUGUUCCGGGUUUGGGAGGCCAGAUGGCAGGGUUGGAAGAGCUGAAGUCAGAAGCCCCCUUUCAAAGCAGCCGCAUGCUCACGCUGCCAUCCAGGGAAGUAAGCAUUCCUGCCUGCCUCCAGCUCCUCACCCAUCAUGUGAGGGCUCACAGAGGCAAUCCCUGGUGUCCUUGAGCAUUCAGAGUCUCCCCACCAGCAGGAGGAGGCAAAAAUAAAAGACUGACCCUGCUGGAAACCUGGGUUUGCAGCUCUUGCCAAGUGCCUGGCUUCCAUCCACCAACAUGGAGUCAUUGGAGGUAAAAUCAGUGAGUGUCAAGAGGCAGUUCUCCAUCCCAGCACUUGAGAGACCACCCACUCCAGGUCCCUGGUACCAAGCUGUUGUUUGGGAUGAACCUGUGCCACUUCCAGUGCCCACUUUUAAGGGUCAGGACUGCCUACCUGUCCCAGUUAGCUUUUUUCUGUCAAUUUAACACAUCUAGGUUUAUCUGGGAAGAUCAUCUCAAUUGAGGGAUUAUCUAGAUCAGAUUGGCCUACGGACAUGCCUGUGAGGGAUUGUCUCAAUUGUUAAUUGACGUAGGAGGGGCCAGUCCACUAUGGGCAGUACCAUUCCCUCGGCAGAUGGUUCUGAUCUGCAUAAGAAAGAGAGCUGAGCAUAAGCCUGCCUGCUACCCAGCAAGCAGCAUCCUCCACAGUUCACACAGCACUUCUUUGACUGUGAAGUAAGUUCCUUGGUCAGAGGCAAUGCUGUGUAGGGUAGCAAACAGGCCUGCCUUCAGGUUCCUGCCAUGAGCUCCCCCAAAAUAACAAACUGUAAUUUAGCGUUGUAUGCCAAAUAAAUCCUUUCAUUUUGGGGCCAGGGUGUUUUGUCACAAUAGAAAUUAAACUAAAACACCACCCAAGCCUGCCUUGCCUUUCCCAUAAAGGUCCAAGAUUCAAGGAGCCCAAGUCCCCAGAUAGCCACAUGGAAGAGUCUCCCUCCACAGAAACACUACUUUGCACUGCUGGGUGACCUGGAAGUAAUCCUUAGGGGCUCUAGCAUCAGCAUUCCAACUAUCAGAGCAAGACCCAGGGUGCCAUUAAUAAAGCUGUCACUUUGCUCAGGGCCAGGCACACGAGGACACCGGUGUCCUUCCUUCUAUAAGAAACACACUAGACGUAGAAUACUAGAGCCAUGAAUUAAUACAGAGUUAGGCCAGACUUUCCUUGGCACAGAUAAGCUGCUCAGAGCAAAUAUCAACAUGGGGACAAAACAUGGUGGACAAUCAAACACAUUAGCUUUUGCAAAGAUAUGUAAGUUCUUCUUUUUAUCACAUAAGGCAGCCUACCUUCAAAGGCUGGCGAACUGCAUACAUCAACGACCAGGGCCAUUAAUAGAGUAUUCUUAAAGUGCAGAGGACACUCCACACCUUGCCUGGGCACCUUCCCUCAGUGGCAUGAAUUUUAUUCUUAUCCUCAUGAUACACAUAAAGAAACUGAGUCUUGGUUAUGUCAUCUGAGAAUGACAGCCAGAAACUUGACCCUCCGAUUCACAACCCGCACAACACUGCUCCCUCGCCGGUUUCCACAAACUCCAAGGGAACAAGAGGUAGUGGGGCAGGUAGAGAAAUAGCUAGGUCAGUAACAUGCUCUCGAUGUGCAAGCAUGAGGACCUGGGUUCUAAUCCCCAGAAUGCACAUAGGAAGCCUGGCAUGGUGGCACUCGCUCAUAAUCUCGGUGAUGGGGAGAUGGAGACAGGUGGGCCUCUGGAGCUUGCUGGCAGAACAGGGAGAGAGCUUCUGCGUAACAAUGCCCAAGGUUGCCUGCUGGCCUCCACACAUAUGUGUAUGCACACAUUCAGAGAGAGAGACAGACAGACAGACAGACAGAGACAGAGAGACAGAGAGAGACAGAGGUAGAGACACAGAGAGAGACAGAGAGAGGAGAGGAAAGACAGACAGAGAUGAGGGUGGAGAAGUCAUUGAAAUUGUCCUUUAAAGGGUCUAGGUCCCAAAAUGCAAAGGGCAGCGACAGCCCAGCUCUGGAAGAGAAGUAGGUGCGUGGACACAGAGGGGCCCACAUGUCUGGUGAGAGUCUGGGCCUGACUCCAACAAUCAAAGAACCUGAAAAUCAGUCUACAAAACCAGACAGGGCUCGGAUAAUUGCGCUCCUUUCCUGCAAACGACGGCGGGGCUUCCACUCCAAGCUGGAGCCAUUCCACUGACGAGCUCAGCCUCCCUUCAAGAGUGGUUUCUCGCCACGACUCGGAUUUAUUUAAGUUCCACCAUUAAAAUGCAAGCCGGAAUGCACACUGCCAUCUCCAUGGCGAUGAGCGUCCUCAAAAACCAGCGCCAGUUUUAAUGAUUAAAUUAUCUUUAUUUUCGGUUCUUCCAUCUCCACAUUUCCCCACACUUUAGUACUCGUUCAAUAAUUCAAGGCUUCUCCAAACACCAGUGAGGAGCCUGGCUCCCUAAGGUGGUCCUUUGCUUCCAGGAGCAACCUGUGGCAGGGACAUCGCUUUAAACACUGUCACAGUAACAGUGCUGAGGAGCCGCUGGUUGAAACAGAUCUGCCUGAACUGAUGAGACCUUGUUCCUCCGUCACCUCUUCUGGGAAGGCUUCUUGGAUUUUGCCUUGUCUAGAGAAGAUGUUGAUGACAAAGUGUUCUAGAAAACGCUACAAAGGAACCAUGGACUCCUGGAAGGCAAGCCUGGGCUUCUUAUUCAGCUUAUUUGGUGGAUAUAGCCUGAGUCCUUGCAGAGCUAAGGUUGAUACCAAGGUCUACCCAGUGAGAUGCCAGCUGCUGAGACCACAGACACUCAGCAGUCUUUGUCACUUUCACCUGCUCACAUGGCUGGAGACCAGAAAUGUGCUCUCUGCAUAAUAAUGGAAAGUCCGCCGGGCGGUGGUGGCGCACGCCUUUAAUCCCAGCACUCGGGAGGCAGAGCCAGGCGGAUCUCUGUGAGUUCGAGGCCAGCCUGGGCUACCAAGUGAGUUCCAGGAAAAGGCGCAAAGCUACACAGAGAAACCCUGUCUCGAAAAACCAAAAAAAAAUAAAUAAAUAAAUAAUGAAAAGUCCAUCUGUAUCUGAAGAUGGAGCUGGAAGUAAAAAUUGGAGGUGAUGGGGGCCACCUUCUGCGGACAGUGCCUAGGACCAGUGGAUUAGAGUUCACCAGAUGCCCAUAUCCUUGUCCCAGACUGCAUCCUCAGAACACACCCUAGAGCAGAGCACAGAGAUCAGCCCUGACCUGUGGAUGGAUGGAUGGACAGGUGGAUGGAUGGAUGGACGGAUGGAUGGAUCAGAAAAAAUGAAUAUGUGGUACGGCAGAUCUGGAGUUUCCAAUGUUACCCCAAGGGCAGUGGGAGGAUGUCCUAAACAGCUUGUGCCCACUGGGAAGCAUCUCAGCAGUAAAAGACAAACGUAAUAACAAAUCCUUUUCUACUACUUGCUAGCUGGUUGCUCUGGGCAGGUACAUUACCUCUCUGAGUUUCAGUUUCCACAGGAAACUGAAGGAUUAAGUGAGGUAUCAGGUCACCUUGUUGAACACACAGGGGCUUCCCAUGUCUGCAUUCUUCCCCACAACCCAGUGUCUCAUGAGUUUGGGCUAGGAGCUAGCAGCUAAUGAAUGAGGUCUAGUCAGACAUUGAUAGUGAUAAGGACUUGGCCCUCAAGGACGUUGAUUUGCAUUUUUCUAAAGGCUAAAGAUGUUGAGUUUUGCCGUGACCUUGCACAGCUUAGAAAUGGACUUAACCAGGGCCAAGAGGAAAGAAGAAAUGACAGCUGUACAUACAGAAAAGCUGGGAUUCCGUGGGCCUUGUCUCUGAUGGAGAUGCACCAACAGCAGCCUGGAAACUCAGCAUGCUUGUUUCAUCAUUGAAGAAGCACUUUUAUUGUAUACUGCUGAAGGAGGUGGCCGAUUCAGCUAAUCUGGGGGUGGGGGUGGGGCUCUGGAGGAGCGCCCUCUUGAGCUGCAAACAAGUUGCAGGGGGAAGCUGUCCUGGAUGGUUUGCCAUUUCCCUCAGCCUGACCUGGGGAAAGCAUCACCAUUCCCGUGGGUCUGAGGCAUUGGCAUCCUUGACACAGUCAUGGUCAUGUCAACAGCACACAUUUACCCAGGCCUCCCUCUGCUCCCCAUGGGGUUUUGCCCACAUUCGAUGGCCAUUUGUACCUCUUCUUUUGAGAAGGUUCUGUCCCAGUGAUCUGCCUAUGUAUUGAUUGAGACCGUGUUCUCUUAUCAUUAACUUUUUUACUUCCUUAAACAUUCUUGUUAUCAGUCUUCCAUGAGAACCACUUGAGAGCUUUUCUCCUGUUCUGUGUGAUGCUUGUUGCUCUGCAGAUUCUCCCGUUUCAGUGUAGAAGCUUCUUAAGUUGCAGACAAACCCACACCCAAUGUUACACGGAACAGGAGAAAACUGAAAUCAUUUCCUGUAAAUUCAGAAAUGAGAUGAGGCUGUCCAUCCUCCCUGCUCCUACAGUAUGGUUCUCAAAAUUUUCACCAGAGCAAUCAGUCAAGAGAAAGAAAAGAAAGAUAUACAGCCAGGAAAGGGGGAAGUCAAAUGUUGCUUUCUGCGGAUGAUACAAUUCUAUACAUAAAACCCACCUAAAGACUCUCAGAAAUUAUUUUUUUAAAAAAAAUCAGCCAAGUCACAGGAUACAAAAUCAAAAUAUUAAACAUCUAUAGUUUUCCUAUACAUCAACAAUGAACUCACCAACAAAGAAAUCAAGAACACAGUCCUAUUAAUAAUAAAAUAAUAAAAACUGACCUAGAAAGAAACCUAACCAAGGAGGUACAAGAGUUUCACAAUGGAAGUCAUGAAACGAGGUAACCCAUGUUCGUAGACAGGGAGAUAAUACUGUAAAAGUGUCUACGUUACCAAAGGCUAGCUACAGAUCCAAUGCAAUUCCCAUCAAGAUACCAAUAACAAUCUUCACAGACUAAGAAAGAACAAUUCUAAAAUUCACAUGGAAAGACAAAACACCCGAAGUAUCCAAAGCAAUCCUAAAGGAGAAGAACAGUGUUCGAGGCGUCGUAAUAGUUGAUCUCAAAUUAUGCUACCGAGUCCUACUGACACAAACAGUGUGGCGCUGGCACAAAAACAAACAGAUCACUAUUUCUGAACACACCAAACACAUGAGCUUCUUGGAUCUUUGCAUUGGCUCUUUCCUCUGCCAGGAAAACCCUUUUACAAGUAUCAACAGGCUUGGUCCUACUUCCUUUUGAACUCUAUUCAAAUAUCACCAUAUCCAGUAAGCCCCCCAUCCACCC